UGACUACUGGCCAGGGGUGUGCUUUGUCUUGAAAAUAAAGCAAAAGUGUUCGAAUCACUUGGUGGUC
rnacentral:tRNA from 1 species